rnacentral:lncRNA from 1 species
UGCUUUCCAUUUGCUUGGUAAAUUUUCCUCCAUCUCUUUUGAGCCUGUGUGUGUCUUUACAUGUGAGAUGGGUCCCUGAAUACAGUGCACCAGUGGGUCUUGCCUGUUUAUCUAAUUUGCCAGUCUGUGUCUUUUAAUCGGAGCAUUUAGCCCAUUUACAUUUAAGGUUAAUAUUGUUAUGUGUGAAUUUGAUCCUGUCAUCAUGAUGCUAGCUAGCACACGCUAGUUGAUGCAGUUUCAUCAUAGUGUCAUUGGUCUUUAUAUUUUGGUGUGUUUUUGCAGUGGCUUGUACCAGUUUUUCCUUUCCAUAUUUAGUGAGGAAGCUAUUUUCUAACUUCAUGAGUGUUCCUAGCAAUUCAUAGGUUAAUCACCCAUUAGAGUCUCAAGAACCUGGAGAUUUGUUGAAGUCAGUAAUGGUUUCCUAAGGAAUGAAGCAGGCAUAGAUUUUUACCUCUUUCUUUAUAACUUUAUAUUUUGACAUCAUGUUGGCUCUGAGUUGGAUGAAUAUCCCAUUUCCAUUUUCUGUAGCAAACAGGAAGCUAAACAUGAUGUUUUAUUAUCAUAACAUAGCAUUGCGAUUACACUAGCUUUGCUAUACCAUUGAAUACCACCCCAAGGGAUAGCUUAAGAUAAACUAUUAGAAGUCUCAAAUUAUAUUUUUAGUAGCAAACCUCUAAAAUUGUAUUGGCUUAAAUCUCACAAGACAGAACAUUUUAUUCUCUAAAUAGUCUAAGUUAUACUGUUGGUUUAAACAAUAGCAUAAAUAAAAUGUCCUGAAAAAUUUUGGCAGUCAUAGAAGACAUCAUCAAAAGAUCACAGUGCCAAAUGACAUCUACAGGUUAGGUCCCAUUUAUAUUUAUACCAGUUUACAGUAAAUUUGAAAAUUCUUCUCGCCUUACUAGCAUAGUUUCUAAUUUUCCAGUUUUCCUUCCAAAUACUUUCCAGGAUUCCCCAGAAGGUUACACAGGUCCAUGAAUCAUUCACUGGCACUUGGUAAGGUAAUGAAGAAACAAAGACUCUCGCUUGGAAGCCAGAUCCCACAACAGUCAGCUUCUGUACUGGACUUGAUUGCUUUGACCACCUGUUGUUGCUGAUGAAGCACCACUGUCCCUGCUGCUGGUGUCACCUGUCCCCUGAUGGGCACACCAUGCGUUAAUUAACUUCUGUUUUUCUUGCAUUAAUAUGACAUUUGUUUUCACAAGAGUGUCUCAACUAAGAACCAUGAAAUGAGAACAGAGACAAAGGCAGCCUAAAAACAGAUGCCCAAAACCACACAAACCAGUUGUCAAUUCAGGAAGAAUGGGUGGAUCGCUGAUAAUGAACAGGAGGGAAUUGAGUGAACAAUCCGAAAACUGAAA